rnacentral:rRNA from 1 species
UGCUGGAGGUAUCAGAAGUGCGAAUGCUGACAUAAGUAACGAUAAAGCGGGUGAAAAGCCCGCUCGCCGGAAGACCAAGGGUUCCUGUCCAACGUUAAUCGGGGCAGGGUGAGUCGACCCCUAAGGCGAGGCCGAAAGGCGUAGUCGAUGGGAAACGGGUUAAUAUUCCCGUACUUGGUGUUACUGCGAAGGGGGGACGGAGAAGGCUAUGUUGGCCGGGCGACGGUUGUCCCGGUUUAAGCGUGUAGGUGUGUGUUCCAGGUAAAUCCGGUUCACUUUAACACUGAGGCGUGACGACGAGGCACUACGGUGCUGAAGCAACAAAUGCCCUGCUUCCAGGAAAAGCCUCUAAGCAUCAGGUAACAUCAAAUCGUACCCCAAACCGACACAGGUGGUCAGGUAGAGAAUACCAAGGCGCUUGAGAGAACUCGGGUGAAGGAACUAGGCAAAAUGGUGCCGUAACUUCGGGAGAAGGCACGCUGACAUGUAGGUGAAGUGAUUUACUCAUGGAGCUGAAGUCAGUCGAAGAUACCAGCUGGCUGCAACUGUUUAUUAAAAACACAGCACUGUGCAAACACGAAAGUGGACGUAUACGGUGUGACGCCUGCCCGGUGCCGGAAGGUUAAUUGAUGGGGUCAGCGCAAGCGAAGCUCCUGAUCGAAGCCCCGGUAAACGGCGGCCGUAACUAUAACGGUCCUAAGGUAGCGAAAUUCCUUGUCGGGUAAGUUCCGACCUGCACGAAUGGCGUAAUGAUGGCCAGGCUGUCUCCACCCGAGACUCAGUGAAAUUGAACUCGCUGUGAAGAUGCAGUGUACCCGCGGCAAGACGGAAAGACCCCGUGAACCUUUACUAUAGCUUGACACUGAACAUUGAGCCUUGAUGUGUAGGAUAGGUGGGAGGCUUUGAAGUGUGGACGCCAGUCUGCAUGGAGCCGACCUUGAAAUACCACCCUUUAAUGUUUGAUGUUCUAACGUGGACCCGUUACCCGGGUUGCGGACAGUGUCUGGUGGGUAGUUUGACUGGGGCGGUCUCCUCCUAAAGAGUAACGGAGGAGCACGAAGGUUGGCUAAUCCUGGUCGGACAUCAGGAGGUUAGUGCAAUGGCAUAAGCCAGCUUGACUGCGAGCGUGACGGCGCGAGCAGGUGCGAAAGCAGGUCAUAGUGAUCCGGUGGUUCUGAAUGGAAGGGCCAUCGCUCAACGGAUAAAAGGUACUCCGGGGAUAACAGGCUGAUACCGCCCAAGAGUUCAUAUCGACGGCGGUGUUUGGCACCUCGAUGUCGGCUCAUCACAUCCUGGGGCUGAAGUAGGUCCCAAGGGUAUGGCUGUUCGCCAUUUAAAGUGGUACGCGAGCUGGGUUUAGAACGUCGUGAGACAGUUCGGUCCCUAUCUGCCGUGGGCGCUGGAGAACUGAGGGGGGCUGCUCCUAGUACGAGAGGACCGGAGUGGACGCAUCACUGGUGUUCGGGUUGUCAUGCCAAUGGCACUGCCCGGUAGCUAAAUGCGGAAGAGAUAAGUGCUGAAAGCAUCUAAGCACGAAACUUGCCCCGAGAUGAGUUCUCCCUGAGACUUAGAGUCUCCUGAAGGAACGUUGAAGACGACGACGUUGAUAGGCCGGGUGUGUAAGCGCAGCGAUGCGUUGAGCUAACCGGUACUAAUGAACCGUGAGGCUUAACCUUACAACGCCGAAG